rnacentral:rRNA from 1 species
CAUAACCUACGGGGGGCAGCAGUGAGGAAUAUUGGUCAAUGGUCGGGAGACUGAACCAGCCAAGCCGCGUGAGGGAUGAAGGUACAGAGUAUCGUAAACCUCUUUUGUCAGGGAGCAAAGGCGGGGACGCGUCCCCGGAUGAGUGUACCUGAAGAAAAAGCAUCGGCUAACUCCGUGCCAGCAGCCGCGGUAAUACGGAGGAUGCGAGCGUUAUCCGGAUUUAUUGGGUUUAAAGGGUGCGUAGGCGGAUUUUUAAGUCAGCGGUAAAAUGUCCGGGCUCAACCCGGGCCGGCCGUUGAAACUGG